GCGGACAGUGCACCCUGAGGGAAGAAUCAUGGAAAAGGGUGCUGAAGCUAUCCAUAGAAAAUCUAGUUAUCAGAAGACACCCAACCUUGACAAGGUCAGGGAUGACUAUGUUGACAUAAUCUUUCACUUUCUCAACUAUGAUAAUCACAAGAAGCUCUGGCAUUGUCUUUUAAAGAUGUGUCGAUGAAGACAUUGUCAUCAUUGUGAAUUACUUCAAGCAUCAAGGAAGUCCUUCCACGUAUUCUUUCUGGCAGAGAGCAGGUUCUUACCUCUGGAACUAAAAGCAGGUGCAAUGGAUUGAAUAAUUCAUAGAUAGACAGUCUCACUCAGCCUCACAUACACCGGCAGUUCUGCAGUGGGGGCGAUUUUGCCCUCCAGGAGACAUUUGGUGGCAUAUGAUCAAAAUUUUAUUGUCACACUGCGGAGUGUCCCUGGCAUCUAGGAGGUAGCAUCUGAGGAUGCUACUGACCAGCCUGCAGUGCACAGGAUGGUCCCUGCAACAGCUGAUGCAGCCCAGGAUGUCCGAGUGUUGAGGCUGAGAGCCCACGGUUAACCAUCAGUCAGAGGCUGGAGGUAUCUCGGCAGAACAUUCACACCAGACGUCUCCUUCACAGCCAUGCCCAAGCACGUCUACUGCUAUGACAGCAAAGUGACAGUGAAACCCGCCUCUGCCUUCCCAUCCUUUUCAGGUAUCAAGUCAGCAAAGUGAGCUUAGAAAUUAAGAACUGCAAAUAUUCUUACAGUUUAUUAAGCUUUUAUCCUUUUACUUGCGUAUGAGGAGAACUCAAAUAUUCAAAGUUAAUCAGCAACUUAGCAGUGAAGUCAGAACAGAAAUUCCUGUGUCUAGAACCCAAAUUCCUUGAGUAUGAAAUUUACAAUGAACUGGCAGAGAGGGAAGCCUGGCAAACCAGCCGUCUGGAGGGACCUGUUUGCCUGGGUGACAUUUGCAGGCCACACUGUCCUGGUUUCUGGAUUCAGAAGGUUUGGUGUCUGUCUACAGGGACACACAGCACUCUGGUGCUGGCGUGGAGCCUGAACGCGAGCGGAUUCAAGACACCAAGAGUUAGAGGUGUGGUGUUUUCAUGUGUGCUUUCAUUCAUUUCCUCUGGGACCCUCACGUACAGACACGCUGCUCGGAUGUUGAAGAAGCACGCACUGGAAGCUCUAGUUGAACACGUUGCUCUGUUGCUCAGGCUGUGCCUCCUAACUGUGAAUUGGGGAGUUUGUUGCUAUGAGCUGGAAUUGACACUGGUUAUUUGUGGAACUGCCUAAUUCCUCAUCAGAAAAAUGCACAUCAAAACCUUUCCUGUGGAUUUCCUUU
rnacentral:lncRNA from 10 species